GCCAAAGCAAGAACAAAGGAAGAAAAAGGAAGAACAAGAACCCUAGGGUAAAAAUUCAAGAGAAAAUUGGUGGAUUUCAAGUAAUCAAGCAAUCAAAGGUAAAAUUUCUUGAUUUUCACUUGUGAUCUACCUUUCCCAUGCAUUUUUUUGCAUUUUCCAUGGUUGAAUCACAAGAUACCAUGAAGGAUAGUGUGCUGAUCAAACCCUAGGAGAGAGGUUUUGAUACUUAAUUUGGUUAGAUUUCAAUGUGUUUCAGUGUUUUUAGCUGACUGGUGAUGUGUAGCAUGAAAGUCAAGCAAGAAAAAUUCAUGUUCUCGCAUCACCCAUCAUUGGCCGAAUUCUCCAUGUAGAAUAUUGAUGAUGAUUUUGUUUUUAUUUCAAGUGAUUUGGUUAGGAAUUAGUGAUUUAUGGUGUGAGAAUCAAGUAGGAAAAAUUAUAGUGUUGAUGCACCCACCAUGGCCGAAUUUUCCAAGAGAAAAUGUAAGGAUGAUUUUGCCAUAUUUCAAGUUAUUUAAUUUGUGUUUGAUGAUUUGGAGUAUUGGGAGAAAAAUGAAAUUAUUGGAGUUGAAUUGGACGUAUUGGCCAAUUAAUCGAGUGAUAGAUUGACUUAGGCCAAUACCGUUUAAUUGAGGUACACAAUUGAAUUUAUGUAGAACACCAUGUUUAGACAAUAAUCCGAACAAUUUGCGUCCCAUUUCAUACAUUAGUAUAAAGCUUGAGUUGGUUUUAUAACAAUUUAGCACAAUGUAGUAAAUGGCUUAUUGUGCAUUAUGUCUAGGUGGUGAGCAUUCUGGCAAAAGUAAAGAGAUAGUACCUGAGGAUCAAGAAUCGGAGUACUUGGAAUUCGACUCCCAAAAUAGUGAGUAACCUUAUCAUCAUUGUAAUUAUCUAAACUACGUUUUAUUCGAUUUUGUGAAUUUUAUGAAAAAUGAAUUAAAUGAUUAAUUUUUUGAUUUUAUAAACAAAAUGUGAUUUAAUGAAAUGAUUUCAUAAAAUUGUUUUAAAAUUGAAUGAUGGUUUGAAAAUAGAGUAAUUGGAGACUGUUUUUGUGUGUUGCAAAUUCAUGAUUCGAAUUGAUUGGCUUAUGGCAAUAUUGUCAUGAAUGGUUGAUUUGAUAAAUGUGUUGGAAAUGUAUAAAUAGUUGAUUUGCCUUAAAAGGCCAUAAAAUAAAAUAAAAUAAUUGCCAUGUCAUGGUAUUACAAAUUUUAUUGUAUGGUGGGUUUAGUUUGCUGCAGUGGGCGGGUUUUCUGUGGACCAGCCUAUUAGAGGGGCAUGGAAUCCCGUUAUAUUUUACCUCGGUUGGAGAGGUGAGUAAGGUAACUCCUGAUGUAUAACUUUUAGAGUUCACUUCACACCAAACCACCACGUGAGGGUGAACUCAGCCAACGCUAAGAAAUGGCUAUAUUUUCAAAAUAAAAACAUGAUUUAUACAUACAUAACUUUUUAACAGCCUUGGCAGACUCGGUUGGGAUAGCCUUCGAUCAAGGUAUCCCUAAUAACUAAGUAUGAGAAUGAUUUUGGCACAAGCCAAAGUUUUAAGAAAUUCAUAAGCCAUGUUGAUUACUCGAUUUAUAUAAAUUGAUUUUAUUUGGUUGAAACAAGUUGAAAGGUGAUGAAUUACAGUAUGUUAAACUAUUUUAUCUGUCUCCAUUUACUUGGCUUUAGAUAUUUUAGAUGGUAUUUGUUUACUCACUAGGAUUAUAUAAUCUUACCACCCUCCUUUCCACUCAUUUCAGGCUCAGAAUAGGCUGUAGAUAGCUGAUUUUAUCGAGGCUACCAUUGGAUUUGCAUUCUCCAAACUGUAGGUUCACAGUCUUCAUUACUUUUAGUUAUUCGGGAGCCCACUGGUUAUUGUAAAUUAAAUUAAAUAUUUUGGCUUACUGCAUUGCAGUAUGUAUGAAUUUACUUUGCUUUUACGCUGCUACAAAAAAAUUAUUUACAUAUAACUCUAAAAAUAUUAUUUUAUAAAAAAAUAAAAUAUUUUAUUAAAUAUUUCUUUUAUUAUUUAUUAUAUCCAAAUAAUCAUAAUUUCAUUUUAAAUGAAGGUUUUAGUUGUUUAAACUUAUUUUUGAUUAUGAAUUAUGUGUUUUGUACUGGCAUACUACAUUUUUAACGGAUUUCGAGAUUUUUGAGAAAAAAUGACCAAAAUGCCUUUGUGAGAAAAAAAUUGUUUUUCUAUUGUUUUGAUUUAAAAAUAGUUUAUGAUCUCUCAAAACAUAAUUUUAGUGACUAAUACUCAUAGGGGAAGUGAGAAAAAUUAACGUUAAGCCUUACGAGGUUUCGAUUGACAUUCCGGGUAAUGAAUGUCUAUCGGGACGUCGCGGCGGUUGUCAUGAGCUCAAUCGGAGUUCCGAGUCGUGACAAAAACCUUUAAGCAUUUUGAGCAUUUUGGAGGGGUUUUUGAUACAUGAAGAAAAACAUUUGAGCGUUAGAGCGUUUUAAGUAUUUUUGAGUGGCUUUUCAUAAAUGAAGAAAAACCUUUGAGCAUUUUGAGCAUUCUUCACCAAGUAGGCAUAUUUGUUGAUUAUAUUGUUAAAGGAAUAUGGUGUGUUUUUUGAAGUUGUUGAUUUUGUUAAAUGGAAUUAAGUAGUUUCGGGGGUUUUUUAAGUAUUACGUUAUCAAUUUUUGAGAAUUGCGUGACUAGUUUUUAGGCAUUGCGUGACUAAUAUUUAGGUAUUACGUGACUAAUUGAUAUGGCAUUGCGUGACUAGUUAGUAAGGCAUUGCGUGAUUGGUUAGUAAGGCAUUGCAUGACUAGUUAGUAAGGCAUUGUGUGACUAGUUUUUAGGCAUCGUGUGACUUAGGCAUUACCUAAAAAUCAAUCACGUAAUGUCUAAAAACUAGUCACAUAAUGCCUAAGAACCAAAAGGCAAUGAUUAAGUCACGCAAUGCCUAAAAACUAGUCUCACAAUAUCUAAAAACUAGUGACAUAAUGUCUAAAAACUAGUAAUGCAAUACGUAAUAACUAAUUGAUUUGGUUGCUUCAGCCAAGUUUAAGUUACGAAAGUCAUACAGUGUUUUAAUUUACAGAUAUGUCUAAUCAAUUUCAACCCUUUAACUUUGGGGUUCUAUGAAUAUAAACCAAUAAACCCAAGAACCUAAAACACAUACCUUGAUGUCAUUUCUGCUCUUUGGGAUAAUGAGAAAGAGCUGGAUGGCGAGAUAGAUAGUAUUUGGCAAAUGAGAGAAAUUACGAUUUAAUUUUGAAAUUUUUGUUUGGAUGGCGGGAUAGAGAAAAUUGAAACCAUUUUAAUUUGUCUGAAAUUGCUUAAAGGGUGUUGGUAGGUGGGUGAUAACUCUAUGAUAUAGAGUUAUUUGAGCUUAAUUUUAAUAGUAAUUUAGCUUAGUUCUUAUAGUAAUGCAUAAAAAUUAAUAAAUUUUAUUUAAUUAUUUUAAAUUAGUUAAUUUAGGUGAGUCAACCUAAUCAUAGUUAAUUUUAUGCUUAACCGGUGUUAAUGUGAUUAAGAUAGGUUGUUAUUAAUUUAUUUGUGCUUUUGUAGGUGUUUAAUGAAUGAAGAAUUUUAAUGGAAAAAGGAGAGCAAUUUUGAGGUGCAGACUUUCACUGCAUAUGUUUUGGUAUUUUGACCAUAACUUUCUUUACAGAUAUUCAAAUGAAGUGAUUAUUGAACCAUUGGAAAGAUAAGAAACAAAGAUACAACUUUCAUGUUUAUCACUUUGCCCAAUUUGGCAUGUAAGAUGGUCAAAAAUCUUGUCAAAAUUGACAUACUGCAGCAGUCCUAGAGCAAUUAUGAUUUCUGUUAAUUAAUUGGACAAGGCUACGACCCACAUAAUCUGAUAAACAAAUUCCAGCUGAAAUUGACUUCUUUCUUCACCUAACUUUGGUUAAUUUCAAAGCCUUAUAAAAACAACCUUUUGGAGGAGAAGAGAAGAGAACAAAUCACUAGAUUAAAAGUUAAGAGUCCAACCGUAAAGUCAUUAAAGGUGAGAAGAAUGUGAAGGAUUUAAGAAAACUUGGAAGAUCAAGAUUAUAAUUUUUGAGUUUUAUCUUUUUUAUUAUUCUUUUAUUUUCUUAGUUUGUUUUUAUUGUUUAAACUUUAUUCAAUGAUGAUGUGUGACUUGAUGGGGAAUCGAUUCAUUAAUCUAAGAUUAUGAUUGAACACGAUAUGUAGUCUGAUUUAUUUAUCUCUCUUUUGCUUAUGUUUGAUGGAUUUAAAUUGUUCAUUUUAUUCUGUUCUUAAUGCUUCUAAUUGCUUGACCACCAAUUAGAUUGAAUUGGAAACCUAGGUUAAGCCUUGACGAAGGAGAUUUAGGUAGACCUUGAAUAGAAUAGCGUAUGAUCGAAUGCACUUAGUUGAUUAUGUGGUUUGAUUUGCAUAUAGGGUAUACAUACACUUAUAAGCCAUACGUAGCUAGGAUUAGAGCACAAACUUAAUGAAUCUUUCUUCAAUUAAUUUGCAUAGGUAUACAGUAAAUUAAGUGGCAGAGGUAUUUUUAUGAUAAACUAGAUAGAGACUUGAAAAUAAUUUAAGACUCUAAGAUAACAACUUAAUCCAUUAAACUGAGUUAAGAGUAAGAGACAAUAAUUAGAUGAAGUAUUGAGAGAUAUCAUAAUCUUAGGUCUAGUAUUUAAGUGAGUUUUAUUUACUAUUUAAUUUUAGUUUCAGUUUAUUAGUUUUAAUUUUUCUUUUUUAUCUUAAUUGUUUGAAUAAAAUUAGGGUGUUAUAAUUUUAGUAGUUAAUAGUAGGAAUUAAACAAUUCUCUAUGGGAAUGAUACUCUACUUCAUUACUAUAUUACUUGUUAACAAUACGUGCACUUGCAUGAGAAAUCAACAACAAGUUUUUGGGCUUACCAUUUCAGAUAAAUAUUUCACUCUCUUUCUGGUCAAAGAAGCUUACCUUACAAAUCUUUUUUCGUCCACACAAUAAUUUCUUCACUCUCGUCGUGAUGGAGUGGCUACUAGAGUAUUCCACAAGGAAUUACAUGUUUCAAAAUCCUCUAGCCUUUGAUGGUGCCUCAAGAAUGAAGAAAAAAAAAAAGGAGAAAAAAAGUUUAUGGUUUUUCUGAUUUGCAGAAGAACUCACAUGCACUCUUUGGUUGUGUGUUGAAAUUAGUAUGUCUGUUCACUAUUUAUAGACUUAUGAGGCAUAUAAAGAUAGGAUAUUACAUUUAAAUUUAAACAAAUUAAAUUUAAAUAUAAUUGAUAGAUGAUUUAAACUUAAACAAAUUAAAUUUAAAUUUAUAUCUUAUCUCAAACAUUUAUUUUUAAUUAUUCAAUUAAGGAAUAUUAAAAUAAUAACUCAUAUUAAAUAAUUGAAUAUUAGUUAAUUAUCCAGAAAUAAUUAAUAAAGUUGCAUGCUUUGUGGACUCACCACAUUUAAAUGCAACAUCUCCCACUCAUUCACAUUGGUAUCAACUUAUACCAUUCUCAAUUUAAUUCAUUCUCCAUUCAUUGUCAUAUAGGGAAAAUGGAAUUUACGACCAAAGAGAAAAUAAUGGUACCAACAUCUCUCACCCGUACACAUUGGCAUCAACUUAUACCAUUCUCAAUUUAACUCAUUCUCCAUCCAUUGUCAUACAGGGAAAAUGGAAUGUGCAACCAGCGAGAAAAUAAUGGUACCCGUGAGCAGUGAGAUAUUAACUUACCAUCUUACUAACAUAACACCGCUUGAGUUCUCGUCAUACCCCAAAUCAUUUUAAUCACACAAGGUUUUGAAUCUUUGAUCCCUCCUACAUGUAAGAGCUAUGCAAAAUCUCUUUAUGCCUCUAAACUCAUGGUUAUAUCUAACAACUAAUGUUUUUAUAACUGCCCAAGUAAUAAGUUAUAGACCAUGUAUGUGAGAUCUGACUACUUUCCUAGUCAUGUUCUGCCAUGCUAAAGUAGCAACACCAAAUCUCAACUUCAUAUCAUAGAUCCAAGUCCCAAAAGGUAUAAAAUUUGGAUUGUAUAAGUCCUUAG
rnacentral:lncRNA from 1 species